CGAUCUUCAAGAAGAAAGGUAUCAAACGACAGUUCACAGUGGCGUAUACUCCACAACAAAAUGGAGUGGCAGAGCGGAUGAACAGAACCUUGUUGGAAAGAACAAGAGCAAUGUUGAGGACUGCAAAUUUGGCAAAUUCAUUUUGGGCUGAAGUAGUCAAGACCGCCUGUUAUGUGAUCAAUCGGUCACCAUCAACCGCAAUUGAUCUGAAAACGCCAAUGGAAAUGUGGACGGGUAAGCCAUCUAGAUAUUCUCACUUACAUACAUUUGGGAGUCCGACAUAUGUGAUAU